GUUAAUCUAUAGAAAUAAUAUUUAUACUGCUUGGCCUCAUCCACGAUUGCAUGGAUUUCCACCGUUUCAUAUUUUCCCCGGAUCUGAAGAAAGUUCUGAAUAAGUGGGCCGUUUCAUGUCCAUGUUGGUCAAAUGCUUGGAUCUGGAUCAUUUCAGACGGAAGAACACAACAAAACUGAAUCACACGGUGUGUUUAGACGGAGACACUCAACCCCCACCAGUGUUUCCGUAUACCGUCAUUUGCAUAAACAUGAGUAAUUUAUGAAUAAUAAAUGCCCGUGCGUUCAGCGGGAGCUGUUAAUUUGCAUAUCAGCGCAGCUACAGUUUUAUUUCCUUAGUGCGCUGUUAUCAUGAAGCCCUUCAAGCCGCAUAAGCCAGAAUCAAAGAAAUCUUUAACAGAUCAGAGGACGGGGGGGAAGCCCCUCUUUCAUCUCUGUGACGGUGCUUUUCACCUCCGCUGAUGACUUGCCGAGGACUAGGGCUCCGGUUGCACCUCGGGAUGCCGGGCGACGCCGAAUGCCACACACACACACACACACACACACACACACACACGCACACACACUCCGCUCCCAGCUUCUGCCCAAGACUCGGGCCACACAGAACCACAGCUGGCACUGAUGGAUGUGGCUGGAAACAGCAGAGCACUCCCUCCAUGUUGGGAAUGAAUCUGCCAGGCCCUCGUCGAUAAGGCCCAAUCGUAAUCAAUGACUUCAGGCUGAAGAGUCUGUGUUUGUGCAGGCUUCUGCCCCUUCUGCUCCGUUUCUAACAACCCUCCAUUGCCUCCACCUCAACCCUUCUUUCCUCCUCCACUUCUCCCCGGCCUGUGCCAGCAGAGAUAAUGCCGUAAUUUACAGCUUUGCAUGUUGGACGGUGAAUGAUAGUUUCUUUUCUAGCUUAAUAUGCAUUCCCCAUAGCAGGUAAUAGUCUUUUUGUAGGAAGAAUAAAAGAAAUAUCUUCAAAAGGAAUUGAGCAUUUUUAUGUUAUAUUCUUCCCUAAUGUGCUAAAAGUGAUACAUAAUGCUCAGUCUUUCAUUAGAACGAAAAUUGAUAAUGAUGAAAGUGUGCCACAUUUUUCUAUAGCUGCUUCCUUGUCAUAUUCUUUAGUGAAAUAUUUCUGGGCCAAAAAAAAUGUUUUUCCCUAUAGGUAUGUCUGCCGAGUGUAUAUGGAGCUGGAAGUGCUCAUAGACACACACACACACACACACACACACACACACACACACACACACACACACACACACACACACACACACACACACACACACACACACACAAAAUUUUGCAAACAUCUUUUGCAAAAACAUCCACUCUUGAUGCAUAUAAGGCAUAAAUAUGUAUGCCAUGUCUCAGGCACAAACAGCUUUCACUCUUCGUACGUUCACAGUGUAGUCGAAUAGACUGAAGCUACACUACGUGUUCUGGGAGAGGCCGUGGGCCGGCGUCCAGGGAACCGGCUUCCCUCGGGACCACUCCGAAGGGACCUGUGACCAGCGGGGCACAGGCAGAGGUCAGAGGUCACCUGAAGCAACAGAGUGUCAACGUGUGACCUUCUCAUGCACAAACAGCAUAAAAUGGUGAAUUAACUGCAAAUUAGGGGUUUAACAAAUCUCCCUCUACAUAUAUAAAGUAUAGAGAUUCCUUGUAAGCAGAUUUGUGAAAAGUGUAACGUGCUGUGAAUAAUUUGAUGAAUGUACUUUAAGAAACAUGCAAAACACUUUGUGUUUAGGUGUGAUUUUAAAAUUUUUACAUGCAUUUUCAUGAUUUUAAUUCCCUUCAACAAAUAUCACUGCCCUUUGUUUAUAUUAAUAUAAUGAACAGUCAUCUCUCCAAGGACUCAUCAUAUUUAAAAUAAAUGUCUGCUGUUAGCUGGAAUAAUUUUCACAAUUUGCCAUCUUCAUACCAAUCAGUUUUACAUUUCCUGAAAGCAGCGCAGACUUACAUUGUCUUAAUUAGGGACAUAGGCUGGCAGUGCAGCCACAUGUGGGAGGACCUGGAGGUUGAAGUGUUCCCUGAAUGCAGCGUGCAUCAUCAGCCUAAUGAAAUAUAACACUGAAAAUUAGGUCUGCUGAACCGAAGGCACGCAGAACAACAGGAUUCCUGAAGCCAAAUGGUGCAAGUUGCAAAAGCCUGUGUGUGUUUGCAUUCAUGCACAUCCAUGUGUGCUUAUAUAAGUGCAUUUGCUAGAGCCUAAACCGCAGAGGAAGCAAUUACACAAAUAUGUUUGUUAGAGUAUUUAUACUUUCUUUAGAACAAUAAGGAGAAAUCCCAGAGACGGAACUGCAGCUCCUUUGUCCUAGUUUGAGCACCACAUUCACCAAAGUGCAUCAAAGUGUCAGCAAUUCAAAAAAUGAAAAAUGGAUGAAGACAAUGGUGCUCUUCGCACAAUUUUUCUAAUAAACUGCCAAUCAAACUGCCGCAUGAAUGACACUAAUAUCAUGUGAUGCAGCAUUCCAUAUCAAAGAUCCCGUCGAUGCUCAUUCCUCCUUUGGCUCAAUCUGAGGCCUGUCCUCCCCUCUUAUUAUCACCAUCAUCAUUCGGACAUGAAAGGAGAGAAACAAGUGCUGCACCACUGCCAAGGAGAAACCUUGAUCUUGGAGCAUUUGCAUUCGCCACCUAGUUCCAGUGGAUGCACGGAGGCGUUACCAAGGUGCUCUCUGAUUGGAAGGCACGGAGGAAACUGGCACUCAGCUAAUGCUCAAAGGCAGCAGGCUCUCCCCCUCCCCCCUCCAGCCACUGCCACACCCAUGUGGUGGCACUAGGGGGCAGUCUACUCUGUUGGUUGUUGUUGUUGAGCAGGCAUUUACAGUAGGAGCUUCACCAGGAGAAAGGAAAUAAAUAUCAUUGAUUUAGUCAUUCAUGUGAAUUCUUCAAAAUGUCUGAAGGCCUCCUCUGAGUUUGUUGUUCAAAAUGUGAGCGAGACAUAACAUUUAUUAAACAGCUCAAUCACAGAAUCUAUAUGGAGGAUAUAGAACAAAAAUAAUAAUUAUAUAUGUUGAGGUGAGGAUUUAAUUCUCAGUAAUAAUUAUAUUCCUUUUUUAUAUGAAAAUCCCUCUAUAUUUCUAAUAUGUAAUAGAUAUGUACAAAAAGCAAUUAAUCUACUCACUAAAUAUGUGGCUAGACGCUCCCACACACUUGAAUGAGUUGCACUAUAGCUGUGUGUGCGCGCUAUACUGUCCAUCAAGAAGCUGCUAAUUAAAGGGCCUAAAACAAUGAAGCAUGGAAACCCCAAAGGAACAAUGUUCAUCUGGAGAAGAAUUAAUGUAAGAGCAGUGGUGAUUACCGUGCGGGUAGUCAUCCGUUUCAUAUUUCUAACACGAGGCAGUGGACCUCAAAUUUGAACCAUGAAGACAUUUAAAAUGUACUUUGCAUGGCGACUCGCUUAGCGCUGAAAUUUUUUUUACUCUCCAGCAUUUUUCACGGUUUUGUUCCUCCAAAUGCUGCACAUUUAAGGGAGAUUAAAGGGAGUCACAUUAAAAUAAGACAUUGUUUACAAUUAAUCCAAAACACGUGAGGGCGAAUGUCGAGUGCUUAAAUAAAUUGGCCUCUACAUGUUUGUAAAUGUUGUUUUUGUUCUUUACUGUUCAGGAAUUAAUAAAAGGUCUUUUUGCAACCUU